rnacentral:lncRNA from 1 species
CGGGAAAAACACCGGGAAUGACACCAGGAAAAAUACCGGGAAAAACACCGGGAAUACCGGGAAAAACACCGGGAAUGACACCAGGAAAAACACCGGGAAUGACACCGGGAACAGCGGGAAAAACACCGGGAACACCGGGAAUGACACCGGGAACACCAGGAAUACCGGGAAAAACAACGGGAAAAACACCGGGAAAGACCCUGAGAACACCAGGAAGAACAACGGGAAAGACACCGGGAAAAACAAUGGGGAAAACAAUGGGAAAAACACCGGGAACACCGGGAAAGACACCGGGAAAAACACCGGGAAAAGCCCCGGGAACACCGGGAUAAAUGCUGGGAGCACCGGGAACACCUGGAAAAACCCUGGGAAUGCCGGGAAAAACCCCGGGAACACUGGGAAAGACCCCAGGAACAGCGGGAAAAACCAUUGGAGCACCGGGAACACCGGGAAAGACCCCAGGAACACCGGGAAAAACCAUUGGAGCACCGGGAAAAACCCCGGGAACAGCGGGAAAGACCCUGGGAACACCGGGAAAGACCCCGGGAACACCGGGAAAAGCUCCGGGAACACCUGGAAAAACCAUUGGAGCACCGGGAACAGCGGGAAAGAUCCCGAGAACAACGGGAAAAACACCGGGAACAGCCCCGGGAACAGCUGGAAAAACCCCGGGAACAGCGGGAAAAACCCCGGGAACAGCUGGAAAAACCCCGGGAACACCGAGCCAACAACAGCCGUCAACGGGAAGAAGCAGAAAGGCAGGAAAAGCUCCCCCAACCCCCAGCAAAACACCUGAAAACGCCGGAAUUCCACGGGAAAACAGCGGGAGAACUCCAGAACCGGGGGAAAAACCCCGGAAAAAACCCCGGAAUGUUCCGGAAAACCCCGGAAUGUUCUGGAAAAGGCCCGGAAUGUUCUGGGAAAACCCCGGAAUGUUCCAGAAAAGGCCCAGAAUGUUCCGGAAAACCCCGGAAUGUUCUGGAAAACCCCGGAAUGUUCCAGAAAAACCCCGGAAUGUUCCGGAAAAGCCCCGGAAUGUUCCGGAAAAGGCCCAGAAUGUUCUGGAAAAGCCCCGGAAUGUUCUGGAAAAGCCCCAGAAAAGCCCCGGAAUGUUCCGGAAAAGGCCCAGAAUGUUCUGGAAAAGCCCCAGAAUGUUCUCGGAAAACCCCGUAAAAGCCCCGGAAUGUUCUGGAAAAACCCAGAAUGUUCUGGAAAAACCCAGAAUGUUCCGGAAAAACCCCGGAAUGUUCCGGAAUAGCCCCGGAAUGUUCCAGAAAAGGCCCGGAAUGUUCUGGAAAAGCCCCGGAAUGUUCCGGAAAAGCCCCGGAAUGUUCCGGAAAAGCCCCAGAAUGUUCCGGAAAAGCCCCAGAAAAACCCUAGAAAGCCCCAGAAUGUUCCGGAAAAGGCCCGGAACCCCCAAGGAAAAGCGCAGGGAAACGGAGCCGGAUUCAAGUUUUUAUUUUGGGGAGGGGUCCUGAGUAGAGCAAUAAAUAAAAAAACCCCUCCCCCA